rnacentral:rRNA from 1 species
UACGUAGGGUGCAAGCGUUGUCCGGAAUUAUUGGGCGUAAAGAGCUCGUAGGCGGUCUGUCGCGUCUGGUGUGAAAAUCCAGGGCUUAACCCUGGACCUGCAUCGGGUACGGGCAGACUAGAGUGCGGUAGGGGAGAUCGGAAUUCCUGGUGUAGCGGUGAAAUGCGCAGAUAUCAGGAGGAACACCGGUGGCGAAGGCGGAUCUCUGGGCCGUAACUGACGCUGAGGAGCGAAAGCGUGGGUAGCAAACAGG